rnacentral:rRNA from 1 species
AUUGAACGCUGGCGGCAGGCCUAACACAUGCAAGUCGAGCGGAUGAGAGAAGCUUGCUUCUCGAUUCAGCGGCGGACGGGUGAGUAAUGCCUAGGAAUCUGCCUGGUAGUGGGGGACAACGUUUCGAAAGGAACGCUAAUACCGCAUACGUCCUACGGGAGAAAGCAGGGGACCUUCGGGCCUUGCGCUAUCAGAUGAGCCUAGGUCGGAUUAGCUAGUUGGUGAGGUAAUGGCUCACCAAGGCGACGAUCCGUAACUGGUCUGAGAGGAUGAUCAGUCACACUGGAACUGAGACACGGUCCAGACUCCUAGGGGAGGCAGCAGUGAGGAAUAUUGACCAAUGGGCGAAAGCCUUAUCCAGCCAUGCCGCGUGUGUGAAGAAGGUCUUCGGAUUGUAAAGCACUUUAAGUUGGGAGGAAGGGUUGUAGAUUAAUACUCUGCAAUUUUGACGUUACCGACAGAAUAAGCACCGGCUAACUCUGUGCCAGCAGCCGCCGUAAUAC